ACGUUGGGGACUAACCCUCCCUCAGCGAGAUAGAACCCUUGCCUUUCAAGUACCACAUGUUUCCUCGGCAGGUCCGCCUGCCAAUGGGGACCACAACAAAACCUUUUGUAAUAGCAGUAAACGUCUAAAAAACAAAAUUUA
rnacentral:misc_RNA from 1 species